AGAAUCAACGCUGGCGGCGUGCCUAACACAUGCAAGUCGCACGAGAAAGUGGAGCAAUCCACGAGUAAAGUGGCGCACGGGUGAGUAACACGUGAAUAAUCUACCUCCGAGUGGGGAAUAAACUGAGAGAAAUCUUAGCUAAUACCGCAUAAUACCCACGGGUCAAAGCAGCAAUGCGCUUGGAGAGGCGUUCGCGGCCGAUUAGCUAGUUGGCGGGGUAAUGGCCCACCAAGGCGAUGAUCGGUA
rnacentral:rRNA from 1 species